GGAAAGUUGCAAAGUACUUUGAAGAGAGAGUUCAAGAGGACGUGAAACCGAUAGGAUGGAAGCAGAUGAAGUUGACGAACGUGUGUCGUAUUCAAAAUCGCUGUCAGCGGUUUGUUUUUACGGCCGAUGUGGGCCGGCGGCUUUGGUCAAUGCAACGCGUCUAGCGUCGAUGGUGACCCUGCGGAGGGACAAUCAGUCGUCGUACGGUGCUUGGUAUGGCUAAGGUUUCGCCGGUCUUAAAGUCAGCGCCUCAUCUGACCCGUCUUGAAACACGGACCAAGGAGUGUAGCGUUUGCGCAAGUCUUAGAGUGUAUCGAAACUUUGAGGCGUAACGAAAGUAAAUGCAGUUUAAUCUGCUGACUUGGGAUGCGUUGUCUCUUGUGGACGGCGCUGGACCAAGGUUUUAUCGCGAUCGCUUGCGGUGCGGUGAAAAUA
rnacentral:rRNA from 1 species